CGAACGCUGGCGGCGUGCCUAAUGCAUGCAAAUAGAACGCUGACUACUUUAGCUUGCUAGAAUAGAAUGAGUUGCGAACGGGUGAGUAGCGCGUAGGUGACCUGCCUAGGGGCAGGGGAUAAGUAUUGGAAACUAUAGCUAAUACCGCAUAGCAGUGUUUAGCACAUGUGUAGAUGCAGAGGAAGAUGCAUAUGCAUCACUAGGAGAUGGACCGGAAUUGUAUGAGGGAGGGGGUGGGGUAACGGCCGACCAAAGAGACAAUACAUAGGCGAGGGGGGAGGGUGAUCGGCCAAACCAAGACUGACACAAGGCCCAGACUCCGACGGAAGGCAGCAGUAGGGAAUCGUGCGCAAUGGGGGCAACCCUGACCGAGGAGCGCCACGUGAGUGAAGAAAGGUAUCGGAUCGUAGAGCUCUGAGAGUAAGAGAAGAACGUGUGUGAGAGUGGAAAGUUCACGCAGUGGCGGUAACUUACCAGAAAGGGACGUCUAACUACGUGCCAGCAGCCGCGGUAAUACGUAGGUCCCGAGCGUUGUCCGGAUUUAUUGGGCGUAAAGCGAGCGCAGGCGGUUUAAUAAGUCUGAAGUUAAAGGCAGUGGCUUAACCAUUGUUCGCUUUGGAAACUGUUAAACUUGAGUGCAGAAGGGGAGAGUGGAAUUCCAUGUGUAGCGGUGAAAUGCGUAGAUAUAUGGAGGAACACCGGUGGCGAAAGCGGCUCUCUGGUCUGUAACUGACGCUGAGGCUCGAAAGCGUGGGGAGCAAACAGGAUUAGAUACCCUGGUAGUCCACGCCGUAAACGAUGAGUGCUAGGUGUUAGGCCCUUUCCGGGGCUUAGUGCCGCAGCUAACGCAUUAAGCACUCCGCCUGGGGAGUACGACCGCAAGGUUGAAACUCAAAGGAAUUGACGGGGGCCCGCACAAGCGGUGGAGUAUGUGGUUUAAUUCGACGCAACGCGAAGAACCUUACCAAGACUUGACAUUGAUUGAAAGACUUAGAGAUAAGUCCCUUCUCUUCGGAGAACAAGAAAACAGGUGGUGCAUGGCCGUCGUCAGCUCGUGUCGUGAGAUGUUGGGUUAAGUCCCGCAACGAGCGCAACCCCUAUACUAUGUUGCCAGCAUUACGGAUGGGAACUCAUAGUAGACUGCCGCGGACAACGCGGAGGAAGGCGGGGAUGACGUCAAGUCAUCAUGCCCCUUACGUCUUGGGCUACACACGUACUACAAUGGGAUGAACAGAGGGAAGCGAAAUCGCGAGGUGGAGCGGAUCCCUAAAAGCAUCUCUCAGUUCGGAUUGUAGGCUGAAACUCGCCUACAUGAAGUCGGAAUCGCUAGUAAUCGCAGGUCAGCAUACUGCGGUGAAUACGUUCCCGGGCCUUGCACACACCGCCCGUCA
rnacentral:rRNA from 1 species